rnacentral:lncRNA from 1 species
AGCGGCGGAGUCUGUCUGUGUGGCUCAGGGGAGGGAAGGGGGUUAUGUUGGGGUCCUGCCCAGGACCCACUGUGCCAACCCUCCUCCCAGCGCCGGGUCGAUGGCUGCGGCUCAAAGUCCUGCGCUGGGGGCGUGUGAGCUGCCGCUGCCGGGCAUAGGCUGUGCUCAGGGCUGCUUGUUCUGCUGCCAGCGGUCGCGCUCCGUGCCUCCUGUUUGCUGUUACUUGUAGAGCGGCUACGAUGAGCGCUAAGGCUUCCCCCCUCCCUUUCUACUAUCGGUAGGAACUGGGUUAAAGUUCCUGCUCGCAUGGGUGGGGAGGAAAGCUUGGCCUGUGCUUCACAGCCACUGCGGAGCGCCCCAGGGCGUUGUAAUUAGAUUGAAUUGUGGGGGAAUUUUUUUCUUCUUCUCGCUGCGAGAUUCACCAGAGGCUCCUCUGCUCCUAAUUAACGAACUCUCCCACUGAGGACUCUUGCAGGCAGCCCGCUGUGCGCCCCGGGAGCUGCAAGCCCGAACGUUGGGAUGGGAAAGCCGGGCAGCAGGGGGGCAAACGCUGUUAAUUCUCUUAAAAACUCCGCUCGGUGUCAGAUGGGGAGAAGGACGUACUUCGGGACUGCUCCACCUUCCGCAGGCGUUGUGCAACAGCCGGACCGCUGGCAAACGCCACGCUGCUGCGGCUCCUCCCGGCUGGGUGACCUCCCCCGAGCUCCGGCUUCUCGCUUAUCAGCUGACACGCGGUGUCCCCGGAGGACCCAAGCUGGCUCCGUGGGCUGCUGGAGCCGUCCCCGCCGUCGUACCGCGGCCGCGUGCUUGCGAUGGGGCUGGAGAAGCAGCACCCCCGGAUUUAAGGGGUUAAACCCCGCAGCCCGGCUCAAUGCGAGGGUGGGGGGGACACCGGCGGGGAGCAGGCGGCCGCUCCCAGGGCUGCGGUGACCCCGCUGGCCGCAGGGAAGGGCGGCAGCAGCUCCCUGCCGUGCCCCAAUUGUUCCGGAGAUACUUUGCAUAACUUGCAGCAGGGCUUAGGAAAGCGCUCCGGGGGAGCUGGAACAGCCCGCUGUUCUCAGGAGGUGCUCGGGGGUCCCAGGGUCUGCCUUUCCUCCUCCUUCCCGGCUUCUUUUCUUGUUCCUGUAAUAACAUUGACGUAAACGGGGGCCGUUCUCCUGUUCCACUGCUUCGGUCCUCAGAGUUUCCCUUCCCACGGUGCUGCGUUGAGAAGUGAGGGCGAUGGGGUGGGAAAGGACGGAGCUGUAGGCAGGGGAGGGGUUGGAGGCCCAAACGCACCUCCGUGCCAGUGCUGCUGAUGGAAGAAGUGCAAAAAUAAGCCGGAUAAAAAUAAAACCUUCCAUCACUUGGAAGAGAGGGUAACUCCUAUGGAAACGCAGGGCCCGGACGGAUGUGAUCUAAUGGCAACAUGGCAGGUCCUCACCUCCUGGAACAGCAGUGGGGGCUGUUGGGGAGCCACCCCUCGAUGUGGUCUGAAGCUGAGGGGGCUGCUUUGGGCUGGGAUGCGGACCCCAAGGCUCAAAUAAAAGGACUGAACCCACAUGUCCUGGGAUGGCUCAGCCCUCUCAGAGGGUAGAGGUGGCUCCCGAGGGUCCUAUGUGGUGUCCCCCAUGAGUGCUCCAUCCCGGGGCACCCCAUCCCAGCCUCCGUCCGUCCCUCCCGGGCUGGGGAGGAGGGGGCAGGCUGUGGGCUGCAGCAUCCUGCGGGGCUGUGUCAGCACUCAGGAAUCCGGGAGCUGCUGGGAAAGAGGGAGGGAGGAGGAGGGAGGCCGGGAGGGAGGCCAGCGCCUUGGGGCCGCGCUGCUG